rnacentral:rRNA from 1 species
CUCUUUUUGAAAUUUUAAAAAGUCUCCCCUGCUCAAUGCUCUUGUAAAUAGCCGCAGUAUUUUGACUGUGCAAAGGUAGCAUAAUAAUUAGUCUUAUAAUUUAAGACUGGAAUGAAAGGGAAAAUCCAAAGAAUACUCUUUCUAAAAUACAUAUUAAACUUCACCUUUGAGUAAAAAGGCUCAAAUUCAAAUCCAGGACAAGAAGACCCUAUAAAUCUUAACAUUUAAGUAAUACAAGACUUAUUAAAAUGUUCAGCUGGGGUGGCAAAUAAACAAACAUUAUUAACUAAUAAUAAACUUAAUAAUACCUAGAAAUUCUAAAAAUUAACAAAGAUACUUUAGGGAUAACAGCGUAAUUUUUCUAAAGAGCCCUUAUUGACAGAAAAGCUUACGACCUCGAUGUUGGAUUAUCCCCCCUCUUUUAUGCAAAAGUAAAAAAAGGAGGUCUGUUCGACCUUUAAAAAUAUCCA